CCAAUAGCGUAUAUUAAAGUUGUUGCAGUUAAAAAGCUCGUAGUUGAAUUUCGGGAUCAAUAUUUCGGUCAUGCCGUUGGUAUGCACUGUUAUCAUUGAUUUCUCACCUUCUAAAGAACCGUAAUGCCAUUAAUUUGGUGUUACGGGGAAUUAGGACUGUUACCUUGAAAAAAUUAGAGUGUUUAAAGCAGGCUCACGCUUGAAUACAUUAGCAUGGAAUAAUGAAAUAGGACAUCCGAUUCUAUUUUGUUGGUUUCUAGGAUCGAUGUAAUGAUUAAUAGGGAUAGUUGGGGGCAUUAGUAUUCAAUUGUCAGAGGUGAAAUUCUUGGAUUUAUUGAAGACUAACUACUGCGAAAGCAUUUGCCAGGGAUGUUUUCAUUAAUCAAGAACGAAAGUUAGGGGAUCGAAGACGAUCAGAUACCGUCGUAGUCUUAACCAUAAACUAUGCCGACUAGGGAUCGGAUGAUGUUAAUUUUUUAAUGACUCAUUCGGCGCCUUACG
rnacentral:rRNA from 1 species